rnacentral:tRNA from 1 species
GGGGACGUAGCUCAGCUGGGAGAGCGCUGCCUUCGCAAGGCAGAAGUCGUGAGUUCAAGUCUCAUCGUCUCCACCA